UACAGAGGUCUCAAGCGUUGUUCGGAUUCAUUGGGCGUAAAGGGUGCGUAGGCCGGCCCGCAAGUGCUUUGUGAAAUCCCAUGGCUCAACCAUGGAACUGCUUGGCAUACUGCGGGUCUUGAGGAAGGUAGGGGUUGCCAGAACUGUAGGUGGAGCGGUGAAAUGCGUAGAUAUCUACAGGAAUGCCGAUGGUGAAGACGGGCAACUGGGCCUUUCCUGACGCUGAGGCACGAAAGCGUGGGGAGCAAACAGG
rnacentral:rRNA from 1 species